CGCCCCAUUUUCACUGCAGAGGAUCAGCAAGCAGCGCCAGCUAUGAGAUGCUUGGAGGGAACUUUCUGGAACUGUGACAUGAUAAUGUGGUGAAUGUAAGAAAACUGCUUCAGCUGCUCCUAUCUCGAUGCUAUUGUGAAGAAUGCAACGUGUGACUAAUGAGUUUACUUGAAUUUCAAACAGAAUUUCGUUAAUAUUAAUUUCACAGAAAUAGCUAUGGGCUUGGAGAGAUUUCUACAAAGGAAGAGAUGAUGGGAAACAGGAAGUAUUCCGAUGCUGUCAGGAUUAAGCUGCCUAGAUGUCUACAUCUUCCAAGCAAAUGUACUGGAUAGCAAACGGAGUGAAUGGCAGGAGUAGUUCUUUAUUGCUACUGAGGACAGUGAUGAGGUACAAUGGACAUCACUGGAAUGACAGGAGCAACUGGGAACUUGACUUGGAAACUAACUGCUGAGACACAGACCAUGAGCCAGCAGAGAUGGCAUGGCCUUCUUUUUAGAAAUGUCUUUUAAAAAAUGUUUGAAAUUCAGAUAAUUCUACACAUAAAGUCAAAAUAAAUAAGCUCUAAUACUUCUACCUGCUUUUUGGU